rnacentral:rRNA from 1 species
ACUCCUACGGGAGGCAGCAGUGGGGAAUAUUGCACAAUGGGCGCAAGCCUGAUGCAGCAACGCCGCGUGAGGGACGAAGGCCUUCGGGUUGUAAACCUCUUUUAGUAGGGAAGAAGCGAUAGUGACGGUACCUGCAGAAAAAGCACCGGCUAACUACGUGCCAGCAGCCGCGGUAAUACGUAGGGUGCAAGCGUUAUCCGGAAUUAUUGGGCGUAAAGAGCUCGUAGGCGGUUUGUCGCGUCUGCUGUGAAAACUGGAGGCUCAACCUCCAGCCUGCAGUGGGUACGGGCAGACUAGAGUGCGGUAGGGGAGAUUGGAAUUCCUGGUGUAGCGGUGGAAUGCGCAGAUAUCAGGAGGAACACCGAUGGCGAAGGCAGAUCUCUGGGCCGUAACUGACGCUGAGGAGCGAAAGCAUGGGGAGCGAACAGGAUUAGAUACCCUGGUAGUCCAUGCCGUAAACGUUGGGAACUAGAUGUAGGGACCAUUCCACGGUUUCUGUGUCGCAGCUAACGCAUUAAGUUCCCCGCCUGGGGAGUACGGCCGCAAGGCUAAAACUCACAGGAAUUGACGGGGGCCCGCACAAGCGGCGGAGCAUGCGGAUUAAUUCGAUGCAACGCGAAGAACCUUACCAAGGCUUGACAUAUGCGAGAACGGGCCAGAAAUGGUCAACUCUUUGGACACUCGUAAACAGGUGGUGCAUGGUUUGUCGUCAGCUCGUGUC